GUUUAAUUUAUUAGACUACACAUAGCUUGUAUGUAGUUAAAUUUGGAGGAUAGGGUUAAAAAAAUAAGCAAUUCAUGUAGUAAUGUAAAAUGCCACAACUUCAUAAAUAUUUUUCUGGUUUAUUGCAGGCAAUUUUUAAAAUGAUACCACCAGAAGAACAGAAGAAUCUACCAGAUGAUGAAAACACUCCACAGAAAAGAGCAGACAAGUUAUGGGCUUAUUUCAAAAAGAAAGAUAAUGGUAACAUUUUAAAGUUAGCAUCUUCUAGACAGAUUAUUUUGCACCUCAUACUAUGCUACAUGGUGCAUUAUUCAUAUUAUUAUGUGUAUAUAUUUUGGAAUUAAUAUUUUAUUGGUGUUUUAUGUCUAUACAAAAAAAUAAUAAUGAUCUCUCAAUCAUUAAAGUUAAAGUGUCAGAAAUCAAUGACACCUAAGUAACACAGAAACCACGGUCAGACCCAAGUCCAAACUUUACAGAUUAUAAAAAAGUCUAAUUUACACAGAUAAGAAAUAUCUCAAAGCCAGAGAGAAAAAUUCUAAAGAGGAAAAGGAAAGAAACAGAGUUGAGAAUCUCUACCACAUGGGGUGUAGAGGGUGGUUAUAUUUGUAAAUGUUUUUGUUAUUGCUGGUGAAUUCACAUAUUAGUUUUUUGUUUUUUUUAAGAUUCAAGUAUAGUUCCUCAAGUGAACAAUAUAGGAUUAGAAAUAAAUAUCUGUAUUCCUAAUGCUACACUCCUGAUCUCUUCCGCCUCCCCUCCCCCAACUGUACAAAAUGAAUAUCGAAAUAAAUGAAAAUGAAAAAAUUACUCAUCUUUACUCCAGAGCCAAGUCACCCUCGGCACUGCCGUAACCUCCUCCGUCAGCUGCGUCAUGAUGGGCCAAUCCAAUACUACUCAUAGAGUAUUCAAUUAUUCUCUAUCGCUGACCAUGAUGGCACAUGCGCAUGCAUGUGUGAUGUUAUGGUAUGAGUGUCAGAAAGUAAAAUUACCAACUCUCAUAUCCACAGGGCUAGAAGACAUGGGUUGAAGCCACACACCCAAGCCUUCUAAUUAGUUUUAAUAUUGAGCUUUGGCAGGUAGGACUGGGGUAGGACUGCAUGCACUAUAACAACUUCAAUAGGUUGUAAAAUGCCCACAGUAUCCCUUUCAGUAACUCAGUAUGAUUAGCAACUCCUAAAUCAAGUAUUUUAAAGAUAAAGAAAGCAUGAUACAUCUAAACAAGUUCAACUCACAUGUUUGACUUAAAUGAAUAGGAAGUAGUGUGAACCCUGCUCAAAUGAGUUUACAAUCUAAAGGAAUGUGAUACAGGUAGAGUACAAUUUGCACAUUAGAUACACGUAGAGUACAAUUCCCAGAUUUCACUAUUAACAUGACGUAAAGUCAUGAUUUUAUUAAAGACACGGAGGCGAGUAUUAUGCAUAUCUCUUUCUUUAUUACUCUCAGCAGCAAAGACAGAGAUGAAUAAAUAACUGAAAUGAACAAAAAACAGUACAGUACACAAGCAACCAAUCACUUAACACAGGAAGUGACUAUAAUAGGCUUGUGACAACCACAAUCCCCCUCUUUCUUACUGAGAACGAAGACCAGUAUGUAGAAUCAAACUUCAGCUAACGUAGCCAACAGCAUCACCAACAUGGAAAACCCGAGAGAUUCAGGCUAAAAAAGGAGACAGAAAAGAAAAAUAUGGUAACUUCUGGACUCCAAACGGCAUGCGUAUAAUAACAUAUAAGCAAUAAAUCCAAAUAUAACUGGUCUCUUUACCACCGUGGAAUAUUCUAAUAGACAUAACUGUAGCAAGCAAUUCACCAAUACAUAAAAUGUCAGACAAGUAAAACAUACGAAAUCUCCAAGGAGAAUACUUACCGAUCCAUAACCACACUGACACCAGCACCCUUCCACGACUGGGUGGGUGGGAAUAAUACUCGCCUCUGUGUCUUUAAUAAAAUCAUGACUUUACGUCAUGUUAAUAGUAAAAUCUGGGAAUUUUAUUAAAGACACAGAGGUUCCUAUUAUGCAAGUUCAAAGCUUAAAAAACCAUCUGAGAUGCAAAAUGAUCAAUCGGCCCGAAAUAGCAAUCACGAAAAUCGAUUCUUCCAAGCGACAGCCAAGCAUUGAGGUUCUAGAAGCUAUAGUUCCGCGGACCGAAUGGGGAGUGAAGAUAAACGUGUCAAUUCCAGCCAAUAGAACCUUCAAAGCCGACUUCAUCCUUCUGGAGAUGUAAAAGGAGAUGCCCCCUGAGGUAAACGUAACGGCAUUCCAGUCGAGCGUUCUGAUAUCCAACACCCGUUAGCAUGAAAUCAAGCAAAAUAACAUAAUCACCUUAGCUGACAGUUGUUUCAGCGUCAAAUCUAGAUUCGGAUACCAUGACGACAGAAAAACUGUAGAACUCUACAUAUACGUCCUGGAAGGUAAGAAUUCCAGGAUCAUAUGCCACGGGGCAGAUACGGGAUCCCCAGUCUGUUCCACACUUCAACUGGACCAAAUUCGCUAGGCGAACCGGUAUGCUGAUCGAGUGUCUGGUGUCCAUGCAUUGUCGAGGAGAUUGAGAGUUGACUGCGGAACUCCAGAGAUAGUCCAAGGUCCCCUGAAAAGGAGCCACGCCAUUAGAUGCCACCAACUCGCACAAGUUUCCGUCCGGAUCCACCAGUAGAUUCGGAAGAGUCAGGCGCAAUUGUGGGUAAUCUAUUGCCAACCCCAGCAACCACAGUCAUGAGCGCCACAGGGGAAUGAUCAACACCAUCGUAUACUCAUGUUGAGUCAACUUAGAGAGCGUACGAGCUGUCAGGUGGACCGGGGGAAAGGCAUAUAUUCAAGCCAUUGGCCACUCCUGAAGGAAUGCGCCCGUCACCACCGCAGCUGGAUCCGGUCUCCAACUGUAGAACCUCGACAACUGGGUGAUGAGAUGAGAAGAGGUUCACUUCGAAUUGGCCCCACAACUGUUCCAAUUCUAUGAACGCCGAAGCGUGUAAGUGCCAGUCUCCGAAGUCUCACCAAUAACGUAAGUUCCAAUCGGCCGUGGAGUUGUACAGGCCCGGAAUAUGUUCCGCCUUCACAGAGACGUUGUUGUGGAAACAAAAAUGCCAGAAAUCCUUUGUCAGGAGUGUCAACAUGCGCGACUUCGUGCCCCCCAGGUGGUUGAUGUAACGCACCGCGGACACAUUGUCCAUUCUGAGCAUCAUGCAGCAGUCCAUUUGACUGGGUAAGGUUGCGAAUUGCAAAACCCUUGCUAACAGUUCCAGACAAUAGAUGUGCAAUGUCUUCACUAAUUCCGACCAUCUGUCUCUGGUGGGAGCAGCGCCACAACGCGCACCCCAGUUGUGUAAGCUGGCGUCCGAGUCAAACACCACAUCUGGGAUUGAUCCGAAGAUGGCUUUGUCAUUCCAUGUGAGCCAGCCACCGAGUUAGCUUGUCUCUGAACUCAUCGGCCAACCUCAACCUUGUCUCGUAGGAAUGACCCGAACGUAGGUACGAAUCCUUGAGCCGUUGGAGGGCCUGAUCGUGAAGCGAUCCUGGAAAUAUUGCCUGGAUCGAGGCUGCGAGCAGGCCGAUUAUUCUUGCUACAUGUCGGGUAGACAGGUUGUCUGCUCGCAGUGUUCGCCUGAUCUCCUUCUAGAUGGCUUUCAUCUUGGCUUCUGGUAAGAACAGUAGCUGACUGGCAGAGUCCACUAUGAAAAAACCAAGCAUCCCACCGAGUGAGCGGAGGUCAGCAACGACUUUUCCCAAUUGAACAGGAACAACUCAAGUUUUGGAAUAACGCAGUCAUCGAGCUGAUAUGAAAGCUUAGUUGGUCCCUAGAUAGGGCCACGAGCAGGAUGUUGUCUAAAAAUAUAAUCAGACGAACACCUCGGGUUUGGAGGAAUGACACCACUGGUUUCCCAACUUUGGUGAAACACCAAGAAGCCGAACGGGAGGUAUGUAAGCCUCUACCGCUUCCUUCUCCAAAUAAAUUGGAGAAAAUCCCUGCGGUUAUAGGAACCAUGAAAUAGGCGUCCUUCAAGUCCAGUUUGACCAUCCAGUUCGGCACCUGGAGGAGGUCAUGAAGGCAAUGGAUGCCCUCCCUCUGGGAUGUUGGUACCAUAGGAAAACAUUAAGAGGCCAGAGUAUGACAACGGGGCGCACUCCGCCUUCUUUCUUUGGUGCCAAGAAGAGGUUGCCCGUAAAACCCAUGAUAGAUGAACGGCAACUUUUGGAUCGCUCCCUUGUCUAAUAGUACCUUGAUCUCCGCGGAGAUUAAUAAUUCCUGUUCCUGAGACAGUCACACUUCCCUGGGGGCAAAAUACUGGACAGGCAUGGGUACAAGUUCUAAACGGCAACCCUGUAACGCUUGGAGACCCAAGCAUCUGUUGUAAAGUCGUGUCACUCUGCCCACCCCCCGCUCUUGAGCAUAAGGGGAAAAAAAUUGUGGAUACGCACCGCAAGGUCUGCCUGACGCGGCACCUCUAGAGUAGGUCUCCCUCUGGACGGGAAGGACGGAGCAGUUUGGACUCUUGGGAGCCGCGAGAAAAGGAGCUCCGAUGAGCUCGAGACGAGUCCCUGAAUCCCCGGCUGGGUGGGCGGCUCCUGCUGCGCCCGGCCCUUUCGCGAAAAAAACCUUCGGGGAGAAAAAAGAAAAACCCUUUUGUGUUCGUCUGAACUUGUCUAUGGCAUUAAAAAUCUUAACAUAUGACCCCAGGUCUCUGAUAAAAUUGUCCCCGAACAACAUCCCUACAGCUGAGGGACCCGAUUCUGACAUGGCCAUACUAGCCAGUUUGGUAUCAAUCUUAAGGAGCAUCGCCUUGUGGUGCUCGGCCGGAAUGGCCAUAAUUGUGUUGCCUAGCAGACAGAUAGCCCAUUGGACCCAGCCAAUUGCUACGUCCAAAUCAAGUUCCGAUUCGCCUGUCUUAGCAGAAUCCAGCAAUUCUUAAACUUGGACAAAGGCCCCAGCGUGCCCAUAAUUUGUCCUGGCAGUUUUCCAAUGAAAAUUCAAGCCCUAUUUCGGCUUCCAGCACGACUUGUAAGGAACUAGGCAAUUUGCGGGUCAGCUUCCAGGGUUUUACAUGCCGAGCCCGGCAACGAGGGCCUAGGGCAGUCAGCUCGCAGCUUACUGCAUCCAUCCUUAGAGAGGGAGUGCGCAUCCUAUUCGCAAUGUAUCGGUCGAUAUGCCCAGGGAGUCCCCACUCAGUAGAGCGGAGAUGACGCAGGUCAUGCAGGACGAACAGGGGGGUUACCCUGAGAAUCCAGAAGCAAAGCGCCCUCAUUCGCCCUCUGAACGGCAGCACCCUGAAUGGGAGCAGUAACCCCAGUACGGGUCAGUACGGCAGUGGGAGCUAUCCCCUUCAUGCCGGCUUCAUCGUAGGAGGCAUAAUCUACCUUCUCUGAGUCAUUCUCCUCACUCCGGUCUGUAUUCGACCUUACUGCAUGGGAUUUAGCCCGUUUCCACAAUCUGACCAUUUUUGUCCGGCCAGGGGCUCUCUUGCGCGGUGAUAGCGCGCCAUGCGUGACCGCCUCAAGCGAGUCUAUCAGGGCAGGUGACACCUGCAUCGAGGAGUGGGAGGUGAGGUGUUUGACCUUCGCCGUAGCCUUAAGGGCCAUAGGCGAGGCAGGGGUAGAGGGUAAAAACCCUGUACCCAGUAGGGUAGGGAAAGCCGUCGGGAGGCAAUAAGAGGGCCCAUGCCAGCGUCUGAGAGAAAGAUGAUGACAUCGCUCCCAUCGCAGAGGCAAGAGCACUUUUGGAGGGAAGACGCCAUAUGGAGUCAAAUGAUGCUAGAAUUUCUCAGAAGUCACAUGCUUCUCUUGCAAUCACUGAGGGAAAUCAUAAGCUGGCCCUCAGGCCCAUCACCCUUAGCCUGCAUACUGUGGAAUAAUCCCUUGUGUUAGUAAAUAGAUACCAAAAUUAUGUUGUGUCCGUUCUGUGCAUUGCAGAACAUAUAUGUAUACAAGUUCGGUGUUAUGUGAUGAUUAUUAAUUUCUUUACAUUUAAUUACUUGGCACAAGGUAUACUCCAUAUAUGGAUCAAUAUGUGCAUGCUGGUAUACAUUAUAAUUAUUAAGGGAUGUAUUCACCGUUUAUAUAAAAACUUUAACAGAAUAUUCACUAAAGGUUGAACUCUAGGAAAAUAAAUAUAAAUUUUAAAAUAGCCUUAAUAAAAGAAAAAAUCACUAGAUAGGAAUACAGAAAGAAAAGGGAAUAGGGUUUAAUAACCCAUAGAGAAAACACGCAGCAGAAGUAACAUGUACUAACGAAAAAUGGAUAUAUAUAUAUAUAUAUAUAUAUAUAUAUAUAUAUAUAUAUAUAUAUAUAUAUAUAUAUACACAUUAAACCAGCAAAUAGUACCUGGCAGGUGGUGUGCCCAGGGGGACCCAGGGGUACCCAGGUGCGAGGGUUGAGGGUUUCCGCCAGAAAAAGCGGUCGGGAAGGGAGGGAAAUGGCUGCCGCACAAGGUGGGGAGAUCAAAAGGCGGCAUGCAGAAGGGGAAAAGGCACGCGUGCAGGAGCCACGCAGCCCGAUCUGUGCACAGGCAGGGGCUGCCGCCAGGCUAAGUAGCAGCUCGCAAGUGUGAUCCCGAUCAGAGUCGGGUGAUGCCACCCACUAGGGGGCCACCCACGACCCACGGGGGGAAGGAGAGGGUGGGCGGCAGGGAAGCCGCUCGAGUGGGAGAGGGAGCACAUCACGGCAGUAUAGUACUGAAGAAACAGUCAGAAAGUCCGUGCAUAAUCACAAUAACAGUGCAAGCAACCAAAUAGGAGAAAAAUAACACUCUAAAGCAUUACAAUAAACGGAAUCCCAACAGAGCACAAUAAAGUAGUACUUAACUGGUCUGAGAGCAGCAAAGAAAGAGGGAGAUUGUGGUUGUCACAAGUCUGUUAUAGUCAUUUCCUGUGUUAGGUGAUAUGUUGCUUGUGUACUGUACUGUUUUUUUGUUCAUUUCAGUUAUUUAUUCAUCUUUGUCUUUGCUGCUGAGAGUAAUAAAGAAAGAGAUUUGCAUAAUAGGAGCCUCUGUGUCUUUAAUAAAAUUUGUUCAGAGUAGAAAUGGAUUUCAUGUGUUUUGAUAGCAUAGUCUGUAAACAGCAUAUGACAACAUCAGAGAGUUAUCAAAGACAAAUUAAAGGACCACUCUAGGCACCCUGACCACUUCAGCUUAAUGAAGUGGUCUGGGUGCCAGGUCCAUCUAGGGUUAACCCAUUUUUUCAUAAACAUAGCAGUUUCAGAGAAACUGCUAUGUUUAUGAAUGGGUUAAGCCUUCCCCUAUUUCCUCUAGCGGCUGUCUCAUUGACAGCUGCUAGAGGCGCUUGCGUGCUUCUCACUGUGAAAAUCAGCGCUGGAAAAAGGUAAGCGCUGGAAAAAGGUAAGCUUUACCCCUUUCCCCCUUCCAGAGCUGGGCGGGAGGGUGUCCCUGAGGGUGGGGGCACCCUCAGGGCACUAUAGUGCCAGGAAAACGAGUAUGUUUUCCUGGCACUAUAGUGGUCCUUUAACAAAGACAAAGACAAAUGGGAUCAUUUGGCGAGGGGAGAUGUUAAUUGGUUAGUUGAUAUUUUCCUUUGGAGGAUUUUAAGGCUUUCCUAAAUGUCUAGAAAAUGCAGAGAAAAUUUAAUAGAUAGAGCAAUGAUUUUUUGGUGAAAUGGUGAAGCCCUAGAAAAGCUUUGAAAAAAGGGAAUUGGUAGUGUGGGUCCAAAUUUAGGGGAGGUGUAAAUCAUUGGCAUGGUGGAUAUACCUAUUUAUUUGAGUGGAUAUGUAGGUAGGGGCACUGCUAUAAAGUGAUUAUAGCUAAGGAAUAUUCUGAAAUAAUUCUAUAAUUCUUGGAUGUAUAGGGAGCCAGUCUAAAGAAUGACAGACUGGUGAAGUAUGAAUUUAGCAGUGAUCGAAUCAUUUGUCAUCAUCUUGCUUAGACCAGUUUUAAUACAGUAUUUCAGCUGGAAACCAGAUUGGAGAAGUUCAAGUAGGAAGCUGGACAAAAGGAAAUUGGUCAGUCCAAUAUAUACAAGAUAUUUUGAGAAGGUCAAAGGAAAAAGAUAGUAGGAAGAUGAAGCGUUAGUUGAAUUGAGAAUUUGCAUCAAGUGAAGGCAUUUUUAAGAUGAAAGUGACAGUAGCUUGUUUAAGGAUAACAUUAGAGAAAGAUUGAGGAUAGUAAGGGAUAGUGCAAGAGCUGAGGGCAAAGACUGACAAAGAUGCAAUGUGACAGAAUAGUGGGUGCCUUUUGAUAUUUCUUUCAUCCUUUUAGCAAUCUUUUCAGUAGAAUGUAAAAGUCAAAUGCUAUAAGGUUGUUGGGGGGGGGGGAGGAAGCAACAGAAUGAAGUAGUGUUGAAUGAUCAGAAGAGACAUGUUGGAUUAUUAGAGAAGGUGGUGAUUAAUUAAAGAAUAUUGCUUUGGUACAGUAAAGUUCUGAGCCAUAGGUGUGCAGUAGGAGUUUAUUGCACAAGAAGUCAGAUAUGGCCCAGAACUUCCUCCAACUUUGCUUAGCAAUCCUAGGUAUACAUUUAACAUUGUGUACCAGGUCUGGAAUUGUAACCAAGGAUUUUUAAUAUAAUGCUCAUGUAUCCGUUAUAUUUAACAAAUAUAUAACUGUGAUGUGUGAAAAAUAAAAGUAAAUGUUCAAAUGCACACCUCUUCACCAUACAAUUGGACAUCUACAUCUUUGAUCACUGCCAAUCAAUUUUGUAAGUUAUAUUAUAUUGUUUUCUUUUGUGUCUGACAGUCAACACAGAGAAAGCAUAGAGCGAACAAAAAAAAUUAAACAAUGUUUAUAUUUCACAUUUCCAUUUGCAAUGUGUGCCCGUGGUUCCCUGGUUGUGCAUGAACUGAACUGAAUUGCAGUGUCAUUUGUUAAUUUUUUUUUCAUGUAAACAUAAUAGAAAACGGAGCAACACAUAAAAAGUAAUAAUUGCAACAGAGUAGGAAGUGAUGGUUCCACUUUAAACUAUUUAUAUGCCUUAUUAAUUGAUAGCAAAAAGACAAAAAAAACAAAAGCGUAAGCAAGAACAGAUAUUCUAGCUAAAAGUAUGGAUAAGGUCAGACUGUCUUUUUACCAGUUUGCUUUUUGGAAAGAAAAAACUUUAUCAAACUUUCAAUUAAUGAGAGCCACAACUAUAUAGAAGGAACAGAACAACAUUUUACCUCAUCUUUGAUGCUCAAGCAGAGGAUACUAUACGCUUUGUGAGCCCUCUCUUAACAAACGCACCAAGUCAUAUUUAUAAAAAAAAAAAUGGUAUUACAUAUUUUAAUAUAGUUAAGGGGUUUAAACAUUAUACUUAAAAGUGUAGAAAACUGGUAAAGGAAUUUUGAACUUUAGCCAGUGCGGGCCCGCCAUGUUUCAGGCCUUAGGCGGUUGCCUAAUACAAGGCUCUGCCCUUGCUCAAGCCAGUUAUUGUCCCUCAUCAAUGAACUAAAAGCAAUGACAAAAAUACAGACCUAAAACACCCAAAAUGACAUCCAUAUGUAUUUAUGUACUUAUGUCUUGGCAUAAUUUUAGUAUUGUAAGAUACACACUCUCUCACUAUGCCACUCACUUUGUACCCCUGUCUCCCCAAGUGAACAACACAGCAGUUACACAUUCUGAGACACCUUUGCUAGAGUUUCUGAUGCCAGAUGAUGUAGCUCUGCAUCUUUAAUGACAUCAUCAUUACUGCAUUGCUGGUUCCCACUCAAAUUUUGAGAGUGCGGCUAUCAAGGAUAUGCCCCGUGACCCAUGAAUAUUUGAGCUUUCUAUCUGUUCAGUGCCCUGAGGUGGUUAUCUUGUGAUCCCAAUAGCAUGUUCCUGGUUAUCUAUUUCUGCUUGUCUGACUACUGUGAUGUCUAUACUCCUUGACAAAGCUUGGCUUAUUGAUAUUGUGUUCUCUGGAAUCUCUUUCUUUGGCUUAUUUUCUUUGAAGCUGAUAUUUUGGUUUUCAGCCAAGGCCAUCCAGAAUUAAUUUUUUUUUAAAUUCUUUAUUUUUCGUGAUGCUUUGUUUCAACAACAUUCCAUUAAGUAAUCAGCAUAGGAAAACAAGUCAGUACAGUUACAGAUAAAACAGUGAGUAUAACAUUACUCUGAGAACUUGUGGGGUAAACAUUUCUGACAGCAUCAAUUUUAUAUGUUACGUGCUUCCACUUUUUGGGGACUGCUAGAGGAAUGUCACUCAUUAAUGAGCUUCUGCUUGUAUUUCGCUCUGAUUGUAGUCCCUAUGUGCGGUGCCUAUGACCUAUGUACUGUGAUGGUGCGUGCUUAUGCUUGGGGUUGCAGGGUACAAGUGUCUUGUCAUAUGUCAAGUGUGAGAUGUCAUGCUGGUUUCAGGUUGUAGAGGUGGUAGCGGAUCGUGAGUAACUUAUGCCUGUACGCCCCUGUGACAGAACCAUAUGUCUGCUUGCAUUCAUCUGUUUGUUUCCCGUUCGUAUGAAUGGCUGGUUUCUAUAGCCCAGCCAUUCGAAUGACUCUUUUUUCCCGAACAAACCUGCCGAACGAACGGCCACCCAAGAGAGGAGUGUGCUGCUGGUUAACGUAGUGAUCCCAAUUAGAACGUUGUGGUUAACUGCAGACACUUCUCAAUUAAACCGAAUUCAGGGUGGUCGUCGUUCGUAUGUCGACCACGAGGCAGCGGCCAUUUUAAACCAAGUGAAAGCCCAGCGGUGUUCGGCUCUAUUUCUAUGGAACUAAAAACGGACACUUUUUCUGCCGAACACCGCUGAAACAACGGAACGCCUGGCUGCCUCCACGAAAGCAUGCGAACACCGGCCGUUCGGGAGAUUUGGAGCAUACGAAAAGACUUAACCCAGAUAGCCUUCCCAUGGAGUCAUUCUUAUACCGAAAGACUGUAAGAACUUUGACUCCAUAGCGAUUGAACUAUGUGUGUGGGAUCUGAGCGCUAUUCGCUAAUAAUAUGCACUCAGAUCCAGGCUAUCUGGGGAUAGGUGAUACGAAUGGGAAAUGUUCAGUUUUUGUGUAGUUAUAUAUUUUUAUGUCUUUUAUUAUUUUAUGUCUAAGAUGGCGACUGGCUUUGUCCUGGAGUUAAUUGAGUUACUUGGUAAUUAACUCCAGGGCAGAGGGGAGGGAAUCAUAAUGCACUGUUGGUAAAAUCUGUGACUGUGUGUCUGAAAUGUCCCCCUAUCUGUCAUUUAAGUCUCCCAUUUGGUCCCCUAGGGUGGGAGACCUGCAUAAAUACGGGCAGGUAGCCCACAGUAAAGCCAGAUCCUGUUUGACCCUCAAUGCGGAGCUUCUGUCUCGUUAUUGGGGGGAUUUCUUCUUCAUGUUUAGAGACUGCUGGAUGGAACGGAAGCCGCUUGGUGAAUGUUGCUGUUCGACGGUUACCAGCAGUUCGUGUAUUGCCGUUCGGGAGUAUGGAGCCGUUCACGGAUCUCGUUCGGGAGAUUGCCGCUUCCCCUGCAUUUGGUUCGUGUAUUACAGAUUAAGCGAACGGAGACUGUACUGCAGCCGGGGAAGGUCUACUAAACGGCGGUUUUGCCUAAAGACACUGGAGGUGUCUUAACAGCCCCAACUAAUGUGGGGGUGAAGUAAAGGGAUUUGCUACCAUGCUGUAUGCCCCUUACCUAGGGGGCGACUAGGGGUGUUACGCCAUUUGGUAUUUGCUCUUGUGCUUGUCAGCCUACUCUACCCUUGCUUGUGCCGUGUUCAGGGCUGUGUGGGUAUUGUGUGGUGUUGCCAUAUGUGAGCAAAAGGUUAAAAUACAAUCUACAGAAUUAACUCCACUAUAAUCACAAACUGGAUUAGAAUUGGUUUGACAGGGCGGUCCUCAGGGGUUUGCACCCUGUAGUCAUGGUAUUUCUGGACGUGGGUUCAUCUCUCUCGGGGUGAAUGGCAUGAUAUUAGCGGGGUCCCAUAUGGUCGUCUGCUGCUUGGAGGUUGAAGGUGUGGCUGGAUGCAUCAAGCCCAGUGUGCCCAGGAAAGUCUGUGCUUCUCCCAUAUUUGAAGUGUAUGUGCAGUCCCGUUUUGAGUCACUACUAAGGAGCCAUUCGCUCCCCAACGGUAUGCCAGUCCUGCGUUUCUCAGCUGGGCUGUAACUGGUCGAUAGCUUUUACGGAUCUGGAGGGUGGCUCUUGUAAGAUCCUGGUAAAAUGUGAGGCUUGAGUUCUCGAAUGUGAGUGGUGCCUUAUCUUUUAUUGCCGCCAUAAUUUGGAGCUUAUCGGGUAGCGUAAGGCAUCUGAGAAUGACGUCUCGUGCCAAGAUUGUCGUGCGUUGAGUGGGGCUUGGGAGGUGGUAUACACUGUCUAUGGUCAUGCAUUUGGCCACAGUGUGUGACAUGAUGGUUGUCAAUAGUCUUCUAACGUAGUGUGGCAGUUCUUCCGCGGUGAUCUUGAUAUACGUGCGCCUCUGGCGGUCUUCUAGGGUUGCGAGUCAUAGUGACAGUGUCUGAUUUUGGGCUUGGAGCGCUUGUAUAGAGGUAUUUACAUUGGUUAGGUGGGUUUGUACUGUUAGUAUUUCCUCCUCUGAGGCUCGCACUCUCUCAGUGACCACCUGUACCUCUGUCUUUAAUUGCGCGGAGUCCACCGCCAGUAGCUUAUGGAUUUCUGCUAGAAAGAGUUUUAGAUCCCUCUUUGUGGUAGGUGCUGAGUCGUCUGGCUGUUCUUGCAGCUCAGCUUGAGGGAUUUGUGAGGGUUGUGAGUUCUCAGGUCUGUCACGGCCUGCUGCUGUACCCAUGUCCCUGAUUGGCAUGCUUUACCCGGGCGUGGGUCUGUGUUGGGCAGGCCUUUGUAACAUGUCCUCUAUGUCCUGACCUUCCAUCUGGUUUGGGAGCACCUACCUUUGCUGCUGAGGCUGAUGCUGCCUGUCUGCUUGCAUCAAAGUUACCCAGGUGUUCCUCUAGGCUGUGGAGCGCUCGGUAGGCCUUAGACCUGUGCUUCCUCCUUGCUGUUUUUUGUGCCUGGAAAAAUGGCAUCGGACGGUUCCUCUUGCCCUGCUGGAUCCGGUUUGGUGAGUGCUGUGGUUAGAUUGAGCUUGGUAUUGUUGAUGUUGGCAGGAUUAGAUUUGUAGGCAGAGGAGCUUUCAGAAAUUGCAUACUUAACUUGACAAGUAUCCACAGUGUCUAACUUUGUGCUUUUCAGCAUAGAUCAAAGAUGAAGUGAAGUAAAUUUAUUUAUAUAUCAGAACUUAAAAUGUCAAGUCUCAUGACACUAGUCAGGCCUUAAAACUUACUCAACACUGUAAGCCUCGAGAAUCCAUAGCAUACUCAUCAGGGGUGAAUGUCUACCUACCAGGGCAAAUUUUCAAUUACCAGUGGCUAGUAGCAAGUUAAAAAUUUGAGCCCUGCUUAAUACUGUAAAUAUAUACUAUUUAUAUUAAUGUCAGGCGGUCAUAUAACAUGAUACUAACAAUAACAGAGAAAUUCAUCUUAUUAAUUUGUACUUUCUUUCUUCAUGUCUAGAUAAAAUCGCCGAAGGGGAAUUCAUUCAAGGUGUAAUGAUAAAUGAUGACAUUAUGAGACUUAUCCAGUAUGAUCCAAAGAAAUAAAAUCAAGAGCUACUAAAGAAGAAAGAUCGAAAAGGCUGCAGAGGAUGCCAAAAGCUUUAAUGUUUGUGUGUUGUGUGCAUGUGCUUGUGGUGUUUUCAGGCUACUUUUACAGUUUAAACUAAAUGGAUAUAGCAUAGAUAAAUACAUUUGAUUUUAAAAUCAAUAAGUUCAAAAUUAUCUGGAAAAUUAUGCUGUAUUUUUUAAAAUAGCAUAGAUUUUGAUGUGUUUUUUUGUAUUGUUAUGAUAAUCGGGUAAAUCUAGAUUAGUUAUUUUAAUUACAGUUGGGUCAUUUACUCAAGAUAUGUCAAAGCAAUGGAAAAAUUAAUUAAAACUAAAAAUGGCUUUGCUCCAUAUAUUAAUUACAUCUAGAUCAAAGGUAUUCAAUAUGAAAGCUCUGCUGGACAUAACUGUAACAAAAUUUUGUCUGUUAUAUUUUAAAUGUAGAUUGUAGAGCUAUAAAAUAUUUUCUUUUUUUUUUUGACGGAAAUAGACUAUCAAAAUUAUUGAUCUUGAACCUAUAUAUAGCCAAGGAUGUGGGAUAUAUUUUAGUCCAGAAAUAGUUUCUGAUAUUUGAAUAUUUGAACAUAUAUUCUGAACAUUUCUGAUAGGUGUUUGUUAAACAAUAAUUGACAAUAAUAAUGUUGUAUUUCUUGCAACUAAUAUUUUUUUUAUUCAGGACAGUAUUUUAUGGAUAAAAGUCACAAAUAAGUGUUUGGUGUAUAAAAUAAACAAACAUACACUUCAGUGUUGAAAAAAUGCAAGUAAAAAAAUAAAUAUAUUUACUUUGCAAUAGUGCCCACAUACUAAAAAAAGUGAGUUGUUAAAAAUGACUAUCUGCUUGAGACAUAGAGACCAAUAAACACAGACAGAAAAGGAACAAUGAAAGGUACCAUCUUUUAUUUCAUCGAAGUUCUACAGCAACAGAUGUCACAUCCAUUUCAGAAAGUACAAUGAAUUGACUACAAAUUCAGGGCUCCGAGGUUUAUCCUUCUUUAAGAGUGAGGCGUGUUGAAAUAAAAUUACUCUUUUUAGAUGAUAAUCAUAUAUAUUCCUUUUUUUAAUUUCUAAAAAUGCUGCUUUCCAACUCAGCCUUUAUUGGUCUAUACUCAAGGUACAAAGUCAGGCAAUCUUGAUGAAUAUCAAAUCUGCUUCUAAUUCUUUUUUGGUAUCUUCAUUAAAAUCGUCUGGUCAACGUACAGUGAAUUGCUUACAUAAAUAGCGGAACCUCUUCAACACACCUCACUCUCAAACCAGGAUUAACCUGCAGCCACCUAAACUCACUAUAUGGUUAAUUCUGCUCUGUCCAUUCUUCCAAAAUUUAAUACUAAAUGUUAACAAAUACCAUAUUAUAGUAUUUUAAAAAGUUAUAUUUCUAGUGUCAAAAAGAAUAAAUUGUAUCUCAAAUGAAAAAUCGCAUGAAAUUUUAAAAUUUAUUCCGCUAGGAUAUAAAGUGUUAUGUGUCUUUUAAAACAUAUAUUUUGAAGGUGAGCUUUGUUUUAAAUUUUAAGUGUCAUGCUGGAGUGUAGUCACCUCUUUGGUAUCAUCCCAUAUACACCAAACUUCUUUUCUAUUUUCCUAUUGACAAACUCCUUGUGGCCAUUAGUAUAGUAUGUACUCUUCUUGAUGUAACUGUAGUUGAAUGAACACUCCUGUGAUUAUUGUAACUCUUUCGUGAAUCUCUAUUGAUCAAGCAUGACAAGCCUCACAUUUGUGUCUUGAAAAACAAAGAGUGAUAGUAACAUACUUAUGUGUCUUUUACAUCUGAGUAUCAUCUAAUUAAUCAAAAAUGAUGGCAGAUUAUUCAAGAGAUUCACUUUUUUUUCUUUAAAAAAAAAAAAAGUGAGUUUUGAUCAAUGUAUUCAAUAAAAAUACGAAGAAGUAUGAUUUGUUUAAUGUUUUUUUUGUGUGAAAACUACCACAAGUCCAGCUGUUUUACAAGCUUGACCCUGAUAUGAUCUCCCACCUCUUCUACCUGUUCCCUUCUGCUCAAUUUCCUCUUUACUGAUUACUGGAAGGGCAUAGCGAUGUUAACAAAAUCAUGAUUACUUUCUUUCUUCAUAGUGAACACACCAGCAGCCUAAUUUUCCAUUAUAGCUUGCAUCAAUUCCUUGGGAUUUUUAAAACAAUUGUUAAAACAUGUUCAGAAUAUAAGUUAUUUAACAAAUGUUGCAUAAACAAUUUUCCUCCUAGACCACUAAACUCCAUACAACAUUCCUGAAGCCAACAUGUUUUCAGUCUGGACAUAUAUUUACACACUGAUUCUCUCCUCUUUUGUUUAAAGCUUUAGUCUUCAUUAUAUCCAUGUGGGCAACCUGUUUCUCAGCCAAAUAUUUGAUUAAGUCCUUUCAAAAUGGGUCAACAAAGGCAGGGUUAAGCCAUUUAUACUCUUUCUCUACUUUGCCAUUGACAUAUUAAACUUUGUCUAGAUUUUCAGACAUGUCUGUGCGAUUAAUAUAUGCAUAUUUUAGCACUUCAGACAACAAGAAUGAUAAUUAGGACAUCCUAACUGUUCAUCUUUAGUCCCCCUUUUCAAAUACCUAACUUUCCCUUCUGGAUAACGGGUCAUUUACUUCCUAUGGAAAACCAAUAGGGAUCUGGAUGGUGUUUAACAAUUACUGUAUCACCAAAAACAAUAUACAUUGCAGUAUUCAUAUUAGCCUUUCCUUUCAUCUUCCUUCACUGUCUGUUUUAUUUUUCAAAUCAUAGGUCACUUUUUGCAAACCUGCACUAACAAUUUGUUCUACAGGCACACCUGGUUUAGCAUUAUCCCUAGGCCAUGGCUGACUGAUCAUUACUCCAAAUCCCACUAUCCAUCCUGCCAAAUUAUCUCACAGAGAACCACCAAUAAGCUCAGCCACAAAUUCUUUACAGGUCUGAUUUAGCCAUGAACUGAGUUUUUGACUAUUGAAGUCCUGGACUGCGCACUCUUAGGGAGAUUAUACGUUUAGUCUUAUACAGUAUUUUAUAGGUUUAAAACCCAUGUCUGCUUUACUGUAGGGUUUACUUUGGGGCAAAUAUAUACAAAUCUUAACUUAACUUAUAUUAUAUUAUUAGAAGUAAAAGCAUGCCGUAGCAAAAUAUAUAUACAACAAGCACAAUUUAUACAAAGCGG